CUCUCGGCAACGGAUAUCUAGGCUCUCGCAUCGAUGAAGAACGUAGCGAAAUGCGAUACUUGGUGUGAAUUGCAGAAUCCCGCGAAUCAUCGAGUUUUUGAACGCAAGUUGCGCCCGAAGCCAUUCGGUCGAGGGCACGUCUGCCUGGGUGUCACGCAUCGUUGC
rnacentral:rRNA from 2 species